rnacentral:rRNA from 1 species
AACGAACGCUGGCGGCAGGCCUAACACAUGCAAGUCGAGCGAGCAUUUCGGUGCUAGCGGCGGACGGGUGAGUAACGCGUGGGAACGUGCCCUUUUCUGCGGAAUAGUCCUGGGAAACUGGGGGUAAUACCGCAUACGCCCUUUUGGGGAAAGAUUUAUCGGAGAAGGAUCGGCCCGCGUUGGAUCAGGUAGUUGGUGGGGUAAUGGCCCACCAAGCCGACGAUCCAUAGCUGGUUUGAGAGGAUGAUCAGCCACACUGGGACUGAGACACGGCCCAGACUCCUACGGGAGGCAGCAGUGGGGAAUCUUAGACAAUGGGGGCAACCCUGAUCUAGCCAUGCCGCGUGAGUGAUGAAGGCCUUAGGGUUGUAAAGCUCUUUCAGCUGGGAAGAUAAUGACGGUACCAGCAGAAGAAGCCCCGGCUAACUCCGUG